rnacentral:rRNA from 1 species
CCUACGGGAGGCAGCAGCGAGGGAUUUUGCGCAAUGGGCGAAAGCCUGACGCAGCAACGCCGCGUGAGGGAUGAAGGCUUUAGGGUUGUAAACCUCUUUUGCAAGGGAAGAAGUUCUGACGGUACCUUGCGAAUAAGCCACGGCUAACUACGUGC